rnacentral:rRNA from 1 species
UACGAAGGGGGCUAGCGUUGCUCGGAAUCACUGGGCGUAAAGGGUGCGUAGGCGGGUCUUUAAGUCAGGGGUGAAAUCCUGGAGCUCAACUCCAGAACUGCCUUUGAUACUGAGGAUCUUGAGUAUGGGAGUGGUGAGUGGAACUGCGAGUGUAGAGGUGAAAUUCGUAGAUAUUCGCAAGAACACCAGUGGCGAAGGCGGCUCACUGGCCCAUUACUGACGCUGAGGCACGAAAGCGUGGGGAGCAAACAGG